AUGUCACAAUCCUUUGUCACACCAUAUGCUUUGCAUGAUGACGACACUUGUUUGGUGACUCACCUCUUGAAUGCUUGGUUUUGCACUAACGCUAACCACAUUUGUUUUUCCAAGUAUUUGUUGUCCUUACUCCUUUUGAAGGAAUCACAAGACGGUGCGACAUUGGAGAGUGCCCAUUUCAAGCUUCAAGAUGACAACUACUUGGUGAACGUCCACUUAUACACGGUGAAGCCAUCUCUUACCCAUGGUGAUUUGGUUUUCGAUCCGAGGUCGGAUCUUUCCCAAGGGAGGGGAGAUAAUGCGGAGCAUCCUAUGGACAUCACCAUGUCAAGAGUCCGUUUGGCGAGUGACACAUGCGACAUCUACUUCACAUACCCAAAGGUGAAUCAUCUCCUUUACACGCGCUCACUUGACCCCUUCGAGGAUGGUAUACUACUUGACACUCCACUCGUGUGCAUGCAUAGGUAUUGUCGGUACACUACAGAUGACGAGGAGGAGUGCAUGCACCAAGGUACAACCACACCAUCCGCGAGGGAAGCCUGCAAGUGA
rnacentral:rRNA from 1 species